rnacentral:rRNA from 1 species
UACGGGGGGGGCAAGCGUUGUUCGGAAUUACUGGGCGUAAAGGGUUCGUAGGCGGCCAACUAAGUCAGACGUGAAAUCCCUCGGCUUAACCGGGGAACUGCGUCUGAUACUGGAUGGCUUGAGUUUGGGAGAGGGAUGCGGAAUUCCAGGUGUAGCGGUGAAAUGCGUAGAUAUCUGGAGGAACACCGGUGGCGAAGGCGGCAUCCUGGACCAACACUGACGCUGAGGAGCGAAAGCCAGGGGAGCAAACGGG